rnacentral:rRNA from 1 species
AUUGAGCGCUGGCGGCAGGCCUAACACAUGCAAGUCGAGCGGAUGAAGGGAGCUUGCUCCUGGAUUCAGCGGCGGACGGGUGAGUAAUGCCUAGGAAUCUGCCUGGUAGUGGGGGAUAACGUCCGGAAACGGGCGCUAAUACCGCAUACGUCCUGAGGGAGAAAGUGGGGGAUCUUCGGACCUCACGCUCUCAGAUGAGCCUAGGUCGGAUUAGCUAGUUGGUGGGGUAAAGGCCUACCAAGGCGACGAUCCGUAACUGGUCUGAGAGGAUGAUCAGUCACACUGGAACGUAGACACGGUCCAGACUCCUACGGGAGGCCGCAGUGGGGAAUAUUGGGCAAUGGGCGGAAGCCUGAUCCAGCCAUGCCGCGUGUGUGAAGAAGGUCUUCGGAUUGUAAAGCACUUUAAGUUGGGAGGAAGGGCAGUAAGUUAAUACCUUGCUGUUUUGACGUUACCAACAGAAUAAGCACCGGCUAACUUCGUG